GCGUCUGUAGCCUAGUUGGUAAAGGCAGCACUCUAGUAUGUGUCUCAGCAUUGCUAUAGGCAGCACUCUAGUAUGUGUCUCAGCAUUGCUGAGGUUGUGAGUUCAACUCUCACCAGACACA
rfam:Puccinia graminis f. sp. tritici CRL 75-36-700-3 supercont2.44 genomic scaffold, whole genome shotgun sequence.